CAAAUGACAAGCGAAAAAUAAAAAAUAUUGCGUCGUUCGCCCUCCCUAUCGGAAAAAAGUUGAAGCACACCUAUUGAAUAACCCUAAUCAAGAAAUUUAAAAGGGAUCUGCAUCUGACUCGCUCGUAAACGAAUUAAUUAAAAGGGAGACGUGUGGGUUUUACAUUGCCGGCAUCGCUAGCAACGUCCAACAUUUACCAACAUCCAGCAAAGCUACCAGGGCAGAUUCAAACACAUUGAUACACACACACUUACACGCAGCGGACGUAUUUGUUAAGUAUCGUAGUUAGAAAAAUGAGUAAAAGAACG